rnacentral:rRNA from 1 species
AUUGAACGCUGGCGGCAUGCCUUACACAUGCAAGUCGAACGGUAACGCGGGGCAACCUGGCGACGAGUGGCGAACGGGUGAGUAAUGCAUCGGAACGUGCCCAGUAGUGGGGGAUAGCCCGGCGAAAGCCGGAUUAAUACCGCAUACGACCUUCGGGUGAAAGGGGGGGAUCGCAAGACCUCUCGCUAUUGGAGCGGCCGAUGUCAGAUUAGGUAGUUGGUGGGGUAAAAGCCUACCAAGCCGACGAUCUGUAGCUGGUCUGAGAGGACGACCAGCCACACUGGGACUGAGACACGGCCCAGACUCCUACGGGAGGCAGCAGUGGGGAAUUUUGGACAAUGGGCGCAAGCCUGAUCCAGCCAUGCCGCGUGCGGGAAGAAGGCCUUCGGGUUGUAAACCGCUUUUGUCAGGGAAGAAACGCUUCGAGCUAAUACCUCGGAGUAAUGACGGUACCUGAAGAAUAAGUACCGGCUAACUACGUGCCAGCAGCCGCAGUAA